GAUUGUUUUAUUACAAAAUCAGGGUUUUGUUUAUGGAACAGAUGAAACAUUUAGGGAAUAGCGUUCCUCUUCUCUCCUCCCAGGCCACACAGAGUAGCUUGGUAGGGUCCUGCUCUGAGGUUCACCAAAGUCACCCGCCCUACAGGAUAUCCCCGAGAUCAGAUGAAUUAAAUGGGGAGGGUGGGGGGCAAGAAACUCAUUGCUCGAUAGAUUUCAUCAUUUGCUUCCUAAAACUAAGAUCCAAAGUUUAAUAUAGUGAACACAUUAGAAAGAGGAGGCAGAAACUUCAGGCCUUCCAGUCACUGCAGCCUCUCAAGUUCCACCUGCAUCUGGAGGGAAGGAGUCAGAGAGGCUGAAAGGGGUGUUGUUCUAGUUUGAUCUUGGUAUUUUAUUUUUGUUUGGUUGUUAUUAUUUUUCAAACCCUGUAUGUGAUUUUUGAAAAAAAGUAAUGAUUAGCUAUAGACGAAAUAUAAGACAUUGUGUUCUUCAUCAGUUUCUAUUUUGAAAAUAUAACUUCCAUCCCAAAUGAGGUUUUGGUACAAUUCCGUGAAGAGUAGUAUGAAUGCACCCUGAGAAGCCAGCGUUAGAGGAAGCAGACUUUGUUGUCAACUCCUGAGUGUCUGAAUUCCAACAGGGAACAAUUGGAUGUGAUUCAAAACAAGUUCGUGAUGUUGAGAGAAAAUAGUUCUGCAAUAAUGCAGGGGAGCCCUAAAAUCCUCUUUUCAAAGAGUGUAUCCCCCCUUUUGAUACAAGGUUAAACGAGGGGUUGAUGAAAUUCUGUGACUUAGGACACUGAAAAAGACAAAAUUCAGACUUGACAGUUCUUGCCAUUUCCUUCUUUACUAAAUUCACUGCCCUUUUGUGUGCAAUAAUUUUGUUUUAAUUUUAGAAUUUAAAAAAUCUGCAUUGUCCAUAGUAAAAAUAAAGACUUUAGACAGAUCUCUGUUUUCUGUGCUUGGUUGGUGAUUUUUGUAUGUAUUUAUUUUCAGCACUGCUCUGAGUUUAGAUAUUCCAUCCAACAUCACUAGAUUGCAGAUUCUCUCGGAUGGAAGAGUAGAAAAAUAACGAAAGUUGCCCCUGACUCAAAAUCUUCCUUGAAAAAUGAUGGCAAGAAAACUGACUCAUUUGACCUUUCGAACGCCAGACAUACUCCACCGCGGUGCAUCCCUUCGGCCCGGGUGCCACUGCAGUGGACACGUGCCUUAGCAGUGACACCAUGAUGGGGCGCGCCGGUGCCUCCGCUACCAGCAAGGAUGGGUCCCGGGUGCCAGCCAAGAUCUGAUCCGACUCUAGUGUCCCACUCUAACACUGUUGGCUGUUGCCUCAGACUUAUCAUGCAGCUCCAUAGGCCCAAGAGAUGCAAUAAUGUAACAGACAAGAUCUUUUAAGGAAAUUUUAUCCAACAUUCUUAAUUGGAAGGCAUUUGAGAGGAGCACAGAGAAACCAAGUGCCCAGGUUUCCUGAUACCAGUUCUGCAAAUCCUUGCUACACUACGCACCAAGGGACCUGCCGUCUUCAUAAAGUUGAUGUCUUCCGCAAAAACAAAACGACACAAAACAAGAAGCCGGCACAGAGUAUGUUCUGUGUAUCUAUGACAGAACACCGAAGCACCCUCUAUUUGGGCAGGCUGACCUCCUCGUGGCGAAUACAGUUUGGGGAGGACGGAGAUAAUAGCCGA